GACGAACGCUGGCGGCGUGCUUAACACAUGCAAGUCGAACGAAGUGGCGAACGGGUGAGUAACGCGUAAUCAACCUGCCCUUCAGGGGGGGACAACAGUUGGAAACGACUGCUAAUACCGCAUAGGGAUGGAGGGGAUUGCGUCUGAUUGGCUAGUUGGAGGGGUAACGGCCAACCAAGGCGAUGAUCAGUAGCCGGGCUGGUAGGAUGAACGGCCACAUCUGGAACUGGACACGGCCCAGACUCCUAAGGGAGGCAGCAAUUGGGAAUCUUCCGCAAUGGACGAAAGUCUGAAGGCGCAACGCCGGGUGAGUGAUGACGGCCUUCGGGUUGUAAAAGUAUGUUAAUCGGGACGCGGUACCGGAAGAGAAAGCCACGGCUAACUCCGUGCCAGCAGCCGCGGUAAUAC
rnacentral:rRNA from 1 species